CUUUAAUUUGAACAAAUACGCGAAAGUAAAAAUCAAUACUUAGGGAAAGUAGCGGCUUGAUAGCGCGACCAUAUUUUGCAGCAGAAGCUGCAAUAGCAUAAAGCAAAUGACGAACAGCCUGCUCAUGACAAAAAUUAGAGCGCAAAGAGGACCCACCAUAAUUAGAAAAGCAUUUCUCUGGAUAUGCAUUACCGGCUAGAACAGCUGAAUCAGUACAUGUGAUGCAUAGAAGACCGUCCUUUGAAACGGAUUGUACAGCAGCAUCCAGAAACGGGGCAGCAGAUCCAUAAGGA